rnacentral:rRNA from 1 species
AACGAACGCUGGCGGCGUGUUUAAGACAUGCAAGUCGCACGGUGUCAUUUUGGUAGCAAUACUUGGAUGGCAUAGUGGCGCACGGGUGAGUAACACGUGAAUGACAUGCCCUUGAGAGGGGGAUAGCCCAGGGGAAACUUGGAUUAAUACCCCAUGGUCUCGCAGGAGUAAAGGUGGCCGCAAGGCUGCCGCUCAAGGAUUGGUUCGCGUUCUAUCAGCUUGUUGGCGGGGUAACGGCCCACCAAGGCGACGACGGGUACCUGGUCUGAGAGGACGAUCAGGCACACUGGAACUGAGACACGGUCCAGACACCUACGGGAGGCUG